rnacentral:rRNA from 1 species
UCUGAUACUGGCAAGCUUGAGUCUCGUAGAGGGGGGUAGAAUUCCAGGUGUAGCGGUGAAAUGCGUAGAGAUCUGGAGGAAUACCGGUGGCGAAGGCGGCCCCCUGGACGAAGACUGACGCUCAGGUGCGAAAGCGUGGGGAGCAAACAGGAUUAGAUACCCUGGUAGUCCACGCCGUAAACGAUGUCGACUUGGAGGUUGUGCCCUUGAGGCGUGGCUUCCGGAGCUAACGCGUUAAGUCGACCGCCUGGGGAGUACGGCCGCAAGGUUAAAACUCAAAUGAAUUGACGGGGGCCCGCACAAGCGGUGGAGCAUGUGGUUUAAUUCGAUGCAACGCGAAGAACC